AAAUAACGCAGUUUGCAUUGUUGUGCCUAAUGUUUGACAGUUCAUUUUAUUUUAAAAAAAUAAGAUUGGUAUUUUUAUUGUUAUUAUAUGGUAAAACAUGAAUACUUUAAGUGUGACUAAUUUUUGUUAAAUUUUUCAUAAAAUUUCAAAUAAAAGAGAUGGUCAAACGUUGGACACGGAAACCCACGAUUGCACUUAAA
rfam:Oryza punctata chromosome 4, whole genome shotgun sequence.